CCUUCUCCAGCGGGCUCUCCUUCCAGCUUCCUCCCGGGCUGCAAUUCCUCUGCCUAGGUGCCUCCGUCCAGCUCCGGCUUCUGGCCCGGAGGCUGCUCAUCUGCCCCUACCCCCGCUGACUUUUGGGAGGAGCAACACCUUUCAGGUCAGCAUUGCUAACCCUAAACUUUCCCCGCCGGAUGCCCGCGAGGCUGCUGCGGCGGCGGCUGCUGCUGAUGGGAGAGUCUCGAGUCCGGCUUUCAUCACAUCACCUGUCUGCGCCCCUUCCCCCUCCCCGCUCUUUUUUUCUUUUCUUUUUAUUUUGACGCAAAUAAUUUGCAUUCUGAGAAUCCCACAAUCAACGCCGAAACUCAUGCUCAAGGAUACAGGAGCCCGCGCCGGUGGCCCCGCUCUCCCCUUCAGCACGCGGGCCUCGAACCCGCAUCCCGGAGAGCGGCCGCCCGCGCAGCCCCUGCCGCGCGCCGUCGG
rnacentral:lncRNA from 1 species